rnacentral:rRNA from 1 species
CAGCAGCCGCGGUAAUACGGAGGGUGCAAGCGUUAAUCGGAAUUACUGGGCGUAAAGCGUGCGUAGGCGGUUCGUUAAGUCUGUUGUGAAAGCCCCGGGCUCAACCUGGGAAUGGCAAUGGAUACUGGCGAGCUAGAGUGUGUCAGAGGAUGGUGGAAUUCCCGGUGUAGCGGUGAAAUGCGUAGAGAUCGGGAGGAACAUCAGUGGCGAAGGCGGCCAUCUGGGACAACACUGACGCUGAGGCACAAAAGCGUGGGGAGCAAACAGGAUUAGAUACCCCGGUAGUCCCUGUCUCUUAUAC